rnacentral:rRNA from 1 species
ACGCUCGACACCUACGUGAGGCAGCAGUGGGGGAUAUUGCACAAUGGGGGAAACCCUGAUGCAGCGACGCCGCGUGGAGGAAGAAGGUUUUCGGAUUGUAAACUCCUGUCGUUAGGGACGAAUUCUGACGGUACCUAACAAGAAAGCACCGGCUAACUACGUGCCGGCAGCCGCGGUAAUCUGAGCGGGCUGGCAAGGC